UACGUAGGCAGCAAGCGUUGUUCGGAGUUACUGGGCGUAAAGAGUGCGUAGGUGGUGCCCUAAGUCUGUUGUGAAAUCUCCCGGCUUAACUGGGAGGGUGCGGUGGAAACUGGGGUGCUUGAGUGUGGGAGAGGUAAGCGGAAUUCCUGGUGUAGCGGUGAAAUGCGUAGAUAUCAGGAGGAACACCGAUGGCGAAGGCAGCUCGCUGGGACGGUACUGACGCUGAGACGCGAAAGCGUGGGGAGCAAACAGG
rnacentral:rRNA from 1 species